CUGGACAUUUAUACUUUUUUUGUUUCCUUAUCAACUGUUCACAAUUAUUAGUUAAUUGGUCUUAACAGUUCUACAUUAUAAUUGAAAGAAAAAUUACUUGAGAAAAUAAUUGUUUCAGAAUAGUGCCUACUAUAUCUGUGUCAGCUAAAAAUUUGUCCAGAGUUUUAGAUAUAAGCUAGUAUUUUGUGGAGUUUUAUCCAGGCGUUAAUAGUUCUUCCUGGCUGAAAUUUAAUAUAGGUGCAGAAUCCUAAAUAACACUGUGAGAUGUAAUCUUAACUGCCCUCAAUACCUUAUAAAACUGCUGCAUUUAACCCAGUGUGCAUUUAAUGAGUGGCUGGUCGUUGAUACACUCAUCUUAGAUGCUGAAAUUUCUGUUUUCUCCAGCCCUUGUAAAAGUGGGUUUCUUGAUGAACGCGUGCUCCCAAUGCUGAAGCAAAAGAUUUGCAUUUAAGGAGAGAAAUACACCCUGAAAUUUGAGUUUGAAAGAUUAGAACAUAGAGGGUCUCUACAGUGUUUUUCUGCAACACCAAGUAGUCAAAUCUAUUUAUAGAAACUCUGAUUACAACAGAAAUUUUAAAAUGAAAUUUUCCACAUCGGUAUUUUGUAGGAAAGCUCUUAUAAUCAAUGCUUAAGCUGCUUUUUGAGGCUUUUCUUGUACAGAGGUUGCAGCCAAUUACAUUUUAAUUGGUAGGCUGCUGAAUAAUGUUUUUGUAUGUUUUAAAAUAAUAUUUAUUUUAAUAGGUUUUUUAACAUUAUGCAAAUCCCAAUAAAGAACUGACACGUUCCAUAGGCCAUUGACUGGGAAAUUUUGUGAAACACAGCCUAAAUACACAGUUUUUACACCAACUAAUUUGUCUUGCCUUUAAAACUGAUUAUAACUCUUCUUUAAGUACAACUUUUAUAAAGAAAAAAUACAACACUAAGACUGUAUGUUCUGUAAAUUAUAGUGUGAUGACCCAUGCAGAACCGCUGUCUGAAGCUUACUCAGCGAUUCAUAGCCAUCUCCAGCCAUGUUUUAUCAAAUCACACACUAAAAAUAAAUGGAAAUGCUACAGUGAAAAACCAAAAGUUACAGAGCAACAUAAGUAAAAUGACUAGGCAGUUUCUUAGUAACAUGUUUGAAAUGGGAAAGGUGACUGACUGCCUUUCACCAGAGUCUUAGCUGUUUCACGUUCACUAUUUUAGGUUAAUUUUCUUGGGAAAUCAAUUUGAAUAUUCCCCCCUGUCCUUUUGCAUUAAAGGACGAAAAUAUAUGUUGAGAGUUUGACAGACUUUUUAAAUAUGCCUCUUUCCCAAUUUUAUGUAUUUUUGGUUCUGCGCACACAGAUUUAUCAAUGAAGUACAUUUGCCUCUGGCUUUAUCACAAGGAAAAAGGAAUCAAACAUUGAACACAAAUGUGUUCCAAACCAGUCUUGUCCAUCUUGUCACUUUUAUGUGACUGCUCCUCUGAACCAGAAGGGGCACGAUAGAAGGCCAUAGGAAUGAAAGUAAAUCAUUCAGGUGAAGUGAGAAAUUCUUCCAUAUACAGAGUGAAAAUGUGUGAUUUCAUUCCUGCCUUCCUUUAAACGUUGUCUUGAUCUCUGCCUAGUAGUAGUUGAGCCCUCAGUCGCCCAAACAUGAGGAGAGACCCAACUCCAGCAGCCAGAAUUUAGUAUUUACAUUUGCCUUCCCAAGUUGAGAAUAGAAUGUGGUGUUCUGUGCUUUCUGUUUUUAUUAUUCCAAAAUAUUUUUUUAAAGAAGUGUUAUUUUUCAACAGAUUCAUAAAUUAGUUCCUGAUGUACGGUAAAUUAAAACUCCCACUGUGUCAGUCAAACUGAGAUGUGCUCAUUUCAUAACCACUCAUUUCUAGUCUGUCAGAGCUGCACUGGUGGCUUAUUGCUGGUUUUUAAAGGU
rnacentral:lncRNA from 1 species